rnacentral:rRNA from 1 species
CUAGUAAUGGCAGGUCAGCAUACUGCCGUGAAUACGUUCCCGGGCCUUGUACACACCGCCCGUCACACCAUGAGAGUUGGGGAUACCCGAAGCCUGUGAGCUAACUAUUUAUAGGAGCAGCAGUCGAAGGUAGAAUCAAUGAUUGGGGUGAAGUCGUAACAAGGUACC